rnacentral:rRNA from 1 species
GACGAACGCUGGCGGCGUGCCUAACACAUGCAAGUCGAGCGGCGACUCAAGAGGAAGUUCUUCGGAAUGGAGACUUAAAUUCUAGCGGCGGACGGGAGAGUAACGCGUGAACAUUCUUUCCCGGUCAGGUGGGUAACCUUUCGAUACUGGUGCUAACACCCCACAAGAGCACGCCCUCGCAUUGCGCUGAGUGCACAGGAGCAUUCCGGUUCGUGGUGAGUUCGCGUCAGAUUAGCUAGUUGGCGCGGUAACGGCGCACCAAGGCGACGAUAGGUAGCAGGCCUGAGAGGAUGAACGGCCACAAUGGAACUGAGAGGCAGUCGAAGCUACUACGGGAGGCAGCAGUGGAGAAUAUUGGGCAAAGAGCGAGAGGCUGACCAAGCAACGCCGCGUGAGGAAAGAAGGUUUUCGGAAUGUAAAGCUGUGUCCUAUGAGACGAAGGUAGUGACGGUACCAAAGGAGGAAGCCCCGGCUAACUACGUG